rnacentral:rRNA from 1 species
CCUACGGGAGGCUGCAGUGGGGAAUAUUGCGCAAUGGGCGAAAGCCUGACGCAGCGACGCCGCGUGAGGGAUGAAGGUCUUCGGAUCGUAAACCUCUGUCAGCAGGGAAGAACGGUCACUUUGCUAAUCAGCAGUGCAUUGCCGGUACCUGCAAAGGAAGCACCGGCUAACUCCGUGCCAGCAGCCGCGGUAAUACGGAGGGUGCGAGCGUUAAUCGGAAUUACUGGGCGUAAAGCGCUCGUAGGCGGUAGGUCAAGUCAAGGGUGAAAUCCCCGCGCUCAACGUGGGAACUGCCUUUGAAACUGGCAAACUGGAGUGUGUGAGAGGAUAGUGGAAUUCCGGGUGUAGGAGUGAAAUCCGUAGAUAUCUGGAGGAACAUCAGUGGCGAAGGCGACUAUCUGGAACAUAACUGACGCUGAGGAGCGAAAGCGUGGGUAGCAAACAGGAUUAGAUACCCUAGUAGUC